rnacentral:rRNA from 1 species
GAUGAACGCUGGCGGCGUGCCUAAUACAUGCAAGUCGAGCGAACAGACGAGGAGCUUGCUCCCCUGACGUUAGCGGCGGACGGGUGAGUAACACGUGGAUAACCUACCUAUAAGACUGGGAUAACUUCGGGAAACCGGAGCUAAUACCGGAUAAUAUAUUGAACCGCAUGGUUCAAUAGUGAAAGACGGUUUUGCUGUCACUUAUAGAUGGAUCCGCGCCGCAUUAGCUAGUUGGUAAGGUAACGGCUUACCAAGGCAACGAUGCGUAGCCGACCUGAGUGGGUGAUCGGCCACACUGGAACUGAGACACGGUCCAGACUCCUACGGGAGGCAGCAGUAGGGAAUCUUCCGCAAUGGGCGAAAGCCUGACGGAGCAACGCCGCGUGAGUGAUGAAGGUCUUCGGAUCGUAAAACUCUGUUAUUAGGGAAGAACAAAUGUGUAAGUAACUAUGCACGUCUUGACGGUACCUAAUCAGAAAGCCACGGCUAACUACGUG